rnacentral:rRNA from 1 species
GUUUGACCUCAAAUCAGGUAGGAU